AGUGGAAUGGCUGAGUUAAUAGGCGAUAGGCUGUAAAUCUAUUUAGGAGUAUUUAUAUUGCUCUUUCACUA
rnacentral:tRNA from 1 species